GAAAUCUUUUAAAGAAUUCAUAAAAGAAUGACAUAGAAAUUCAAAAAAUAUAUAUUAAAAUAGAAAUAUUAUUAAAAUAUUAAAAUAAAAUUUUUACUUAAAUCCGAGUCAAAAUCUAAUCAAACUUUAAUCAAAUCUUAGUCAAACCUUCAUCAAAUCGUUAUCAAACCCUUAUCAAUUUCAAAAUAAGCCUUCAUAAAAUCCUAAUAAAAUCCUAAAUAAAUCCAAAUAAAAUCUUAAUCAAAUCCUAUAUAAAUUACAAAUAAGCCCUAAUCAAACCUUAAUCAAAUUGUAAUCAAAUUUUAAAUAAAUCCUAAUCAAAUCUUAUUUAAAUUCUAGUCAAGCCCUAAAAAAAUCCUAAAUAAGUCCUAAUCAAAUCUUAUACAAAUUCUAGUCAAAUUAUAGCCAAAUCCUAAAUAUAUUAUAAUAAAACUCUAGUCAAAUCCUAGACAAACUCUAAACAAGUCCUAACCAAAUCUUAAACAAAUUCUAAUCAAAUUCUAGUCAAAUUCUAAUCAAAUCCUAAUCAAAUCCUAAACAAAUCUAAACCAAAUUCUAAAUAAAUCCUAGUCAAAUCCUAGAAAAAUACUAAAUAAGUCUUAAUCAAAUCCUAAACAAAUCCUAGUCAAAUCCUAAUCAAAUCUUAAUCUAAACCAAAUCCAAAUCCUAAUUCUAACCCUAA
rnacentral:lncRNA from 1 species